GGGGGUUUAGCUCAGUGGUAGAGCGCUUGCCUAGCAAGCACAAGGCCCUGGGUUCGGUCCCCAGCUCA
rnacentral:tRNA from 1 species